CAGUUUCUCAACCACACUCCUGGUGUGUGUGGCUUGGAUUGUGGGGGUUUUUGCAGGCUUUGACAAUGAAGUCUGCUCCCCUGAAAUGCAUUAGUAGUAUCUGAGCUUACUGCAAAGGUGUGAUAAUUUAUCUAUGCCAUUGGUAUGCUGCAUGCACUGCUUCUAACAUGACGUUUGAUGAA
rnacentral:misc_RNA from 1 species